GACGAACGCUGGCGGCGUGCUUAACACAUGCAAGUCGAACGAUGAAGCCUAGCUUGCUUGGUGGGUUAGUGGCGAACGGGUGAGUAAUACGUGAGUAACCUACCUUUAACUCUGGGAUAAGCCCUGGGAACUGGGUCUAAUACCGGAGACGACCAAUCUCCGCACGGGGUGUUGGUUGAAAGCGUUAGGUAGUGGGUAUAGAUGGGCUCACGGCCUAUCAGCUUGUUGGUGAGGUAACGGCUCACCAAGGCGACGACGGGUAGCCGGCCUGAGAGGGUGACCGGCCACACUGGGACUGAGACACGGCCCAGACUCCUACGGGAGGCAGCAGUGGGGAAUAUUGCACAAUGGGCGCAAGCCUGAUGCAGCGACGCCGCGUGAGGGAUGACGGCCUUCGGGUUGUAAACCUCUGUUAGCAGGGAAGAAGAGAGAUUGACGGUACCUGCAGAGAAAGCGCCGGCUAACUACGUG
rnacentral:rRNA from 1 species